rnacentral:tRNA from 2 species
GUCCCAAUAGCUAAGUGGUUAUAGCAUGCGAUUGCAGUCCAGACCUAUGAUAGGUUACUUGGUUAUCGCGGGGUCGGGUGUUCGAAUCACCCUUGGGACU